rnacentral:rRNA from 1 species
GACGAACGCUGGCGGCGUGCUUAACACAUGCAAGUCGAACGGAAAGGCCCUGCUUGCAGGGUACUCGAGUGGCGAACGGGUGAGUAACACGUGGGUGAUCUGCCCUGCACUUCGGGAUAAGCCUGGGAAACUGGGUCUAAUACCGGAUAGGAGCCAUUUUUAGUGUGAUGGUUGGAAAGUUUUUUCGGUGUAGGAUGAGCUCGCGGCCUAUCAGCUUGUUGGUGGGGUAAUGGCCUACCAAGGCGGCGACGGGUAGCCGGCCUGAGAGGGUGGACGGCCACAUUGGGACUGUGAUACGGCCCAGACUCCUACGGGAGGCAGCAGUGGGGAAUAUUGCACAAUGGGCGCAAGCCUGAUGCAGCGACGCCGCGUGGGGGAUGACGGCCUUCGGGUUGUAAACUCCUUUCGCUAGGGACGAAGCUUUUGUGACGGUACCUAGAUAAGAAGCACCGGCUAACUACGUG